rnacentral:rRNA from 1 species
AUUGAACGCUGGCGGCAGGCUUAACACAUGCAAGUCGAGCGAGCGGCGGACGGGUGAGUAAUGUCUGGGAAACUGCCUGCUGGAGGGGGAUAACUACUGGCAACGGUAGCUAAUACCGCAUACCAUCGGAUGUGCCCAGAUGGGAUUAGCUAGUAGGUGGGGUAAAGGCUCACCUAGGCGACGCUCCCUAGCUGGUCUGAGAGGAUGACCAGCAACACUGGAACGACGACACGGUCCAGACUCCUACGGAGGGCAGCGUUGGGGAAGAUUGCACAAGGGGCGCAAGCCUAAUGCAGCAAUGCCGGGGGUAUGAAGAAGGCUUUCGGUUGUUAAGGUACUUUCAGCGGGGAGGCGUUACCCACAGAGGAAGCACCGGCUAACUCCGGGCCAGCAGCCGCGGUAAUAC